rnacentral:rRNA from 1 species
GACGAACCGUGCGAACGUUGUUCGGAAUCACUGGGCUUAAAGGGCGCGUAGGCGGGCUGCCAAGUCUGGGGUGAAAUCCUCCGGCUCAACCGGAGAACGGCCUGGGAUACUGGCGGUCUGGAAGGGGGUAGGGGCGGCCGGAACGGGUGGUGGAGCGGUGAAAUGCGUUGAUAUCCUGAGGAACUCCGGUGGCGAAGGCGGCACGCUGGACCUUUUCUGACGCUGAGGCGCGAAAGCCAGGGGAGCAAACGGG